GAACGGGUGAGUAACACGUGGGCAAUCUGCCCUUCACUCUGGGACAAGCCCUGGAAACGGGGUCUAAUACCGGAUAAUACUCCUGCCUGCAUGGGCGGGGGUUGAAAGCUCCGGCGGUGAAGGAUGAGCCCGCGGCCUAUCAGCUUGUUGGUGGGGUAAUGGCCCACCAAGGCGACGACGGGUAGCCGGCCUGAGAGGGCGACCGGCCACACUGGGACUGAGACACGGCCCAGACUCCUACGGGAGGCAGCAGUGGGGAAUAUUGCACAAUGGGCGAAAGCCUGAUGCAGCGACGCCGCGUGAGGGAUGACGGCCUUCGGGUUGUAAACCUCUUUCAGCAGGGAAGAAGCGAAAGUGACGGUACCUGCAGAAGAAGCGCCGGCUAACUACGUGCCAGCAGCCGCGGUAAUACGUAGGGCGCAAGCGUUGUCCGGAAUUAUUGGGCGUAAAGAGCUCGUAGGCGGCUUGUCACGUCGGAUGUGAAAGCCCGAGGCUUAACCUCGGGUCUGCAUUCGAUACGGGCUAGCUAGAGUGUGGUAGGGGAGAUCGGAAUUCCUGGUGUAGCGGUGAAAUGCGCAGAUAUCANGAGGAACACCGGUGGCGAAGGCGGAUCUCUGGGCCAUUACUGACGCUGAGGAGCGAAA
rnacentral:rRNA from 1 species